rnacentral:rRNA from 1 species
CCAGACUCCUACGGGAGGCAGCAGUGAGGAAUAUUGGUCAAUGGGCGGGAGCCUGAACCAGCCAUGCCGCGUGAAGGCGAGUGCCCUACGGGCGUUAAACUUCUUUUGUGCGGGAGCAAUAAGGGCCACGUGUGGCCCGAUGAGAGUACCGCACGAAUAAGCAUCGGCUAACUCCGUGCCAGCAGCCGCGGUAAUACGGGGGAUGCGAGCGUUAUCCGGAUUUAUUGGGUUUAAAGGGUGCGUAGGCGGGACCUUAAGUCAGCGGUAAAAUUGCGGUGCUCAACGCCGUAGAGCCGUUGAAACUGGGGUUCUUGAGUGAGCGAGAAGUAUGCGGAAUGCGUGGUGUAGCGGUGAAAUGCAUAGAUAUCACGCAGAACCCCGAUUGCGAAGGCAGCAUACCGGCGCUCAACUGACGCUGAGGCACGAAAGUGCGGGUAUCGAACAGGAUUAGAUACCCCCGUA